UACGUAGGGUGCGAGCGUUUGUCCGGAAUUAUUGGGCGUAAAGAGCUUGUAGGCGGUUUGUCGCGUCUGCCGUGAAAAUCCGGGGCUCAACCCCGGACUUGCGGUGGGUACGGGCAGACUAGAGUGUGGUAGGGGGAGACUGGAAUUCCUGGUGUAGCGGUGAAAUGCGCAGAUAUCAGGAGGAACACCGAUGGCGAAGGCAGGUCUCUGGGCCACUACUGACGCUGAGGUGCGAAAGCGUGGGGGAGCAAACAGG
rnacentral:rRNA from 1 species